AUGCCGUUCCUGUGGACUCCAAUCCUGGGUCUGGUUGCGGUCAACAGUCGGCGGCGACGGCCAGAUGGGAUGGUUUUCGCCAGCGUCCGGAUGCAUCUCCGACUAGGUCGGCACAAUCGACUGCCAGAGUCAACCGAGAAGCCCCUGGUUGGACAAAAAGGUUUAGUGCCCAUGGCAUUCGGAGGUACCCAGGAGCAUGCAGCCUACGGUGAGUUGGUUUCCAUCGGAGGGCUGAACCCUGAUGUGAACAAGAAGCUGAGCGCCGACAUUGCUGCAUCCUGGAGUCAAAGUUGUCCAUCCCCAAGUUCCCGCUUCUACCUCAAGUUCCAGUAUUCAAAGGUCCAUCCUGCACAAGAACAUGCUCAAUGGUUGCAUGAUUUUGCAUCAAGAGUAGAUCAUCGCUUGGACUUUGGAUGGAACUGA
rnacentral:rRNA from 1 species